rnacentral:rRNA from 1 species
UACGUAGGGACCGAGCGUUGUCCGGAAUCAUUGGGCGUAAAGAGCGUGUAGGCGGCUUGCUAAGUCCUGCGUGAAAUCUCGGGGGCUCAACCCCGAGCGGUCGUGGGAAACUGGCAGGCUAGAGUGCGGGAGAGGAGAGUGGAAUUCCUGGUGUAGCGGUGAAAUGCGCAGAUAUCAGGAGGAACACCGAUGGCGAAGGCAGGUCUCUGGGCA